CCUACGGGUGGCAGCAGUGGGGAAUAUUGGGCAAUGGGCGCAAGCCUGACCCAGCAACGCCGCGUGUAGGAAGAAGGCUUUCGGGUUGUAAACUUCUUUUGUCAGGGACGAAACAAGUGACGGUACCUGACGAAUAAGCCACGGCUAACUACGUGCCAGCCGCCGCGGUAAUACGUAGGUGGCAAGCGUUAUCCGGAUUUACUGGGUGGAAAGGGCGUGUAGGCGGGGGAGCAAGUCAGAUGUGAAAGCCACGGGCUCAACCUGUGGAAUGCAUAUGCUACUGCUUGACUUGAGUGCGGGAGAGGGGAGUGGAAUUCCGAGUGUAGCAGUGAAAUGCGUAGAUAUAUGGAAGAACACCAGUGGCGAAGGCAGAUUGCUGGGCAGUAACUGACGCUGAGGCGCGAAAGCGUGGGGAGCAAACAGGAUUAGAUACCCGGGUAGUC
rnacentral:rRNA from 1 species